rnacentral:rRNA from 1 species
CCCAGACUCCUACGGGAGGCAGCAGUGAGGAAUAUUGGUCAAUGGGCGGGAGCCUGAACCAGCCAAGCCGCGUGAAGGAAGAAGGCGCCAAGCGUCGUAAACUUCUUUUGUCGGGGAACAAAGGGCGCCACGUGUGGCGUUGUGAGUGUACCCGAAGAAAAAGCAUCGGCUAACUCCGUGCCAGCAGCCGCGGUAAUACGGAGGAUCCGAGCGUUAUCCGGAUUUAUUGGGUUUAAAGGGAGCGUAGGCGGGUUGUUAAGUCAGUUGUGAAAGUUUGCGGCUCAACCGUAAAAUUGCAGUUGAUACUGGCAUCCUUGAGUACAGUAGAGGUAGGCGGAAUUCGUGGUGUAGCGGUGAAAUGCUUAGAUAUCACGAAGAACUCCGAUUGCGAAGGCAGCCUGCUGGACUGUAACUGACGCUGAUGCUCGAAAGUGUGGGUAUCAAACAGGAUUAGAUACCCCCGUAA